GCGGAUCGGCAGCCACCCCGUGGCCGCCCACU
rnacentral:scRNA from 1 species